rnacentral:tRNA from 1 species
GCCUGGAUAGCUCAGUAGGUAGAGUAUCAGACUUUCAAUCUGAGGGUCCAGGGUUCAAGUGUCUGUUCAGGUG